CGCACUGGCAGGCUCACAUCUGUGGACAUUUUAUGUAAAAGACAAGUAAUGGGAGAAGGCGAGAUCUUCAAAGUGUCUUGUAACUCAAGAAGGCCUGUAUUAUAUAAGCGCAGAAGGCAGCGAGGGAUUAUAAGAAGUUGUGUUUGGGCUACGGCGCAGAGCCUCUGCUUUGAGCGCCGUUGUUUGAUUCGUGGGGCCGGCGAAGCCUUUGUGAGCAAGGUUGCCCAAGUGUGUAAACCUUUUGCCACAAGGCAGGACCGCAUCUUUGCUUUAUUUGUCUUAUUAUGAACACCCUGGCCACUUUCAGAGGCAAGCUCUGUGACUUUUCAAACCUCUUUGCUGGUGAGCCUCUCCUGAUCUGACAUCAAGAACUUCCUUGGCCACUGCCUUCGUUCUCUUCUUUCAGCCAGCUCUCUGUGGGGAGUUGAGAUUCUCAGUAUUUUUUAGGCAAAAAAAGUUCCCUGGUCUGGAAGAAUCUAUUUGUUGUGAAGAAAUCCACCUUGAGAAAACUACGAGGACUUCUUAUAUUCUGGCCUUUGCUUGUUCUCAGUGUCUGUGUCUGAGUCCCUCCCUUCGCAUCAUUUUUGAAGCUCAGCAUCCAACAUCAGACUCAAUACUUCAGCAGAAGCCUUCCAAGCGAGCCGAAGGAUGUCUCAUGAACAUCACUCCUGUUCAUAUACCCCAGCAUUCACCUUCUCUGCAGCUCCCCGUAUGGCACUGGUUGUUCACAUGCAACAUCUAAGCCAGAGUCACGCACAGGUCCUUUUCCAUGAGACUGCUGUGCAACGAACUGUUUCUCCUGAGGAAUUUAGGCUGCUGAUUGUCGAGGAAUAAAACACUACCAGGACGAAUGAGAAAGCCAGUGCUUUGACACGUGGUUCAUUUUGAAAUGAAUCAUUCCUUACCAAACCAAAACCGGAGAAGUCAGCACAGAUAAAACUGUUCCCCCAAGUUCGCAGAGAGCUGUGUGCCCCCAAGGCCAGUUUGAUUUAACCUACCCUGCUCCGGCCACCAUAGCAAAGAAAGCUGGGGGAAUAAUAGUAACAGCCGCAGCAGUAAGGAAAACAGAAGCAGUGAGAUUUGCAGGAACUGGACGCUGGCCAUACAUCUGGGCUAGCCUACUGCACACAGCCCGUGAUGCAAGCCCUGCUCAAUGUGAACAGACAUGUGCCUUUAAGCCCAGCCUCCUCAUAAGCUUUAAGCAACUGGAGGAUCCCCUGGAGUGUCCCCCUUCAGCAUUAAAGGACCAUUUAUUUCUAUGCUGGAACAUCCUGGAGAAGGGCAUGGCUAGGGCAGAAGGGAAGUGUGGCAGGGUCUGCUCACCAGAAGGCUGCUCUUUGGCCUUCCAGCAGAAACUGAGGCUUUUCCCCCUCACUCUCUGUAUUCUCUUCUUUGGGCAUUAGGUUCAGUUAAAGAAAAUCAAUACUAGUGAAAAAUUCCCCUUAAAGUAGUAAGUGAUUUGAAGCAACAUUUUACCUUUCAAAGUCUUUGCAAUAUCCCAGGCAACGGAAGGAUUUCAGUUGUUCUCAGUUUGAAAAACCAGUUCGCAAAAGGUACUGCAUUGCUCUACGUAAAGUUCAUUGGUUAAAGGUUACUGUCAGCCACUUCUAGAAAAAACAAUGUCUUGAUAUGACUAUGGUUGAAGAGUGCUGUGCAUGUGUAUGUGUGUGUCUGUGAGUGUGUGGGAGACAGAGAAGCACACAGCGGUUUUUAUUUUGUUACUUUUAAUGGGGCUAUUUUGUGAGGCUGAAAAAAAAAUUGUUAAACUUGCCUUAAUUGAUUGUUUAAAGUACCAUGGUGGAUUUGUCUUUUAAACAUAGCCCGUGGUUAAAGUUCCCGUUGCAUUGUAUUUGAAGUAGGUCCUUUGUGCUUUAAAAUGAAAACUGUAAAACUUUUGGUGUUUAAGGCUUUCUGACUCCAAGUUAAUUGUUUUCCUUUAAUAUGAGCAGAAUUAAAGAUAUUAAAAAUCGA